AACGAACGCUGGCGGCAGGCUUAACACAUUCAAGUCGAACGCCCCGCAAGGGGAGUGGCAGACGGGUGAGUAACGCGUGGGAAUCUACCCUGAUCUGAGGGAUAGCUCCGGGAAACUGGAAUUAAUACCGCAUAUGUCCUGAGGGACAAAGAUUGAUCGGUUCAGGAUGAGCCGGCGUCCGAUUAGCUAGUUGGUGGGGUAAAGGCCUACCAAGGCGACGAUCGGUAGCGAGUCUAAGAGGAUGAUCAGCCACAUUGGGACUGAGACACGGCCCAAACUCCUACGGGAGGCAGCAGUGGGGAAUAUUGGACAAUGGGCGCAAGCCUGAUACAGCCAUGCCGCGUGAGUGAUGAAGGUCUUAGGAUUGUAAAGCUCUUUCACCGGGGACGAUAAUGACGGUACCCGGAGAAGAAGCCCCGGCUAACUUCGUGCCAGCAGCCGCCGUAA
rnacentral:rRNA from 1 species